GUGAACGCUGGCGGUAGGCCUAACACAUGCAAGUCGAACGGCAGCACAGUAAGAGCUUGCUCUUACGGGUGGCGAGUGGCGGACGGGUGAGGAAUACAUCGGAAUCUACUUUUUCGUGGGGGAUAACGUAGGGAAACUUACGCUAAUACCGCAUACGACCUACGGGUGAAAGCAGGGGAUCUUCGGACCUUGCGCGAUUGAAUGAGCCGAUGUCGGGUUAGCUAGUUGGCGGGGUAAAGGCCCACCAAGGCGACGAUCCGUAGCUGGUCUGAGAGGAUGAUCAGCCACACUGGAACUGAGACACGGUCCAGACUCCUACGGGAGGCAGCAGUGGGGAAUAUUGGACAAUGGGCGCAAGCCUGAUCCAGCCAUACCGCGUGGGUGAAGAAGGCCUUCGGGUUGUAAAGCCCUUUUGUUGGGAAAGAAAAGCAGCAGGUUAAUACCCCGCUGUUCUGACGGUACCCAAAGAAUAAGCACCGGCUAACUUCGUG
rnacentral:rRNA from 1 species